AGGGAAGAGAGAGAAAGGAUGUCUCAAGCCCUUGGCAAGAGACCACCCGCUACAGGGAAACAACCGCGCUCGGAAUCACAAAUCAAAUCCGAUAAGAAAAGGAGCCGAACCAGAGUAAACAUCGGCACUGCUUUUAAUCGCUGGAGACAACUGAUGGACCUGAAAGAAAUGAGGUUUGACUCCGAACUUGCAACAUUUCUUUUGGAUUGCCAGCACUCUGUUAGCGGAUCUGGCCAGAUGGACCAGUCAUCGGAGCUUGAAAUCAAAACAUCUGCUGAUCAGGGUGAGAGCAGCAGUGGUCAGACAGUGGAUGAUGAGCUCGAUGGACUUCCAGUCUUUGGAACAGAUGAAGAUGAUUGGGAAAUAGACAGUAGCUUUGCUCAGAAAGCUUUGGAACAGAUGGAAAGGGACAGCGAUGAUAAAAACGAAAGUCAAGAUGGAGUGCCAACUAGCGGUGCAGAUGCAGAGAACAGCUCAUCUAUCAAUGGCUCUUCAGAAAUGGAUGAGGAAAGAGCGAAGGUUUCUGAGGACACCCCCGUGACCCCUUUAUCAGACACUAUUAUAGAUAUCCAAGACGUACAGUCUGAACUUAGAAUUGAGUCAUCGCGAAGUGAUGCUAAUCCGGAGCUCCCUUCUGAAUGCGCAGGCAGAGAAAAAAGUUACUCACCUGUAAUAAGUAUUAAGGAUGAGCCUAUUGAUGAUGAAUAUGAUAAAGCUUUAAUGCCCCAGUCCGACAUGAGCAGUGUUAAACAGGAGCUUGACAGUUCUGAAAGUAAUGAGAAUGAGGCCUCCUCUGCAUCAGAUGAAUUGAGGAUUAGCUCUGUUUUCUCUGUCAGCGGAAACAGCAGUGAUACAGUUUCUUCUGCAUCUAUGGCCCCCUCCCAUGCAUCUUCAUUUUCAGUAAUGUCCCAGAAUGCUGCUCCACUCAGAGGAACUACUAUACUUCUGCCAGCCCAAUCCCAAACUCCGGUUCAGUUCCGGCUGCAACCCAAGACCCAGAUGUAUCCUCAGAUCCCCACUCGCUCCCGAAUGCAGCCGCCCAUGAUGCCCCAAACUCACCUACAGCCUCCUCCACAGCCACCCCAGAUCCAUGCCCCUCCACCCACAGUGAGGAUCUGCUGCUCAGGCUGUUCCAAAGUCCUCCAGAAAGGUCAAACUGCAUUCCAGCGAAAAGGCUCCAACCAGCUGUUUUGCUCCACUGUGUGUCUAACUAGUUUCAGUUUACCAUCAGUUCAGUUUACCCCCAUCGUUGCCCCUAAGAAAACCUGCCACCUCUGCCUUAAGGUCAUUGUCAAUUUAAAGGACUUGAUAACAAUCCCCGUGGGCUCUAUGAACACACUAAAGGAGUUCUGCAGCCAAGCUUGUCUUAGUAUUUAUAAAAACAGAUAUGAAGAUGCAACUCCAGAUCUAUAUACACAAUGCGGCGUGUGUAAGUUGGUGAAAGAGAUUCAGCAUGAAGUGACUCAUCUGGGUGCUGUGCACAAGCUGUGCAGCGAUGAAUGCUUUGCACGCUUCAGAUCCUCCAGAAACCUCUACAUGAGCUACUGCGAGAACUGUGGCAACUGUACGGCCUCAGGAAACUAUCACCUGGUUCAGAUAGAAGAUAGUAUUAAAAAGUUCUGCUGCACCGAAUGCAUCUCUAAUUACAAACAGAAAAGUGGCAAGAGGCUUCACUGUCCCUACUGCCAAGAUAUCAAAGAUAUUGAACAAAUGAUGGAAGGGACAAACAUACAGGGUGUCACAGAAUUCUUCUGCUCUCAAAGAUGUGUGGCCCUGAGUCAAGCAUCUCCCAGUUUGACAGGUAAAUAUUUGAAAUGCACCUCUUUCCCAUGCACAACUUGCAAGAAGUUAGCCGUUCCACAGUAUCACCUUGCCAUUUCUGAUGGGUCCAUCAGGAACUUCUGCUCAUUAGACUGUGUGGGCAAAUUCCAGGAGAAACUGAAUGCAUCUGUACCUCAUAACCAGAUGAAUGGAAACUCACAAGGACCUCCGCCUCAAAGCGCUGCACCACCUCGACCCACCACCGACCAUCUCCAGCCCACUCAAACUUCAUCCAGUGUUCCUGGCCCAAACCACAACCCUCCCCCACCUUUCGUACCACCAUCCAUUCAAAAUCCAGUUCCAACUUAUGUGCCAGCUCCUGCUGUGGUUAACUCGCAAGACGCCCAGCAGCAAUGGCCAAUCAAGCCUCCCUCAUCAUCUGACACAGUACGGCUGACGUGCAAACAGUGCCAGAAUCAGUUCAGCUCAAAGCCUGAGGUUUUCCAGUUCAAGGGUCACGCAGGGUUGUUCUGUUCUCGAGCGUGUUGCGACACAUACAAGAGGGAAAGCAGCGUGAAAGCUUUGUGCGAGUACUGCAAAAUAGAAAAAGUGGUCAAAGAUAUCAUCACAUACGAAAAGCAGCCGAGAUCUUUCUGUUGUGAAGGCUGUAAACUGCUUUUCAAGCAUGACCUUGCCAAACGACAUGGAGGUCAAUGCAGGGUUUGUGCCUACUGUCAAAACAUGACCCACAAAACCAUUCAGAACUUCUUUGGGGGCAAACUUGAGGAGUUUUGCACAGAGGAGUGCAUGUCUCUUUACACCGUUCUCUUUUAUGAGAUGGCCAAGUGUCAUGGCUGUAAGAAUCAGGGCUCAUUAAAGGAAAGCCUCGUCUGGGAUGGAACAACAAGACACUUCUGUAACUUGUCCUGUUUGCUGCAGUUCUGUUCAAAGUGCAUUACCCCUCAUCAGCCAGCAAGCAAUGGUGCUGUGUCUAACACCACUACAGUUCAAGCUCCAUUAUCUCUGUCGAAAGAAAUGCCUGUAAUUGGUGGUGUGGUGUCACUGGCCUCCACAUUACCGGGAAAUACUGCUCUUACAGGAGCUCUGCCUACCUCCAAUGCCAGCUCAAAAAACAUUGGGGAAGCCAGCACACAAACCGAUGCUGCAGUGUCUGCUAUUCCAUAUCGAAGAACGUUGAAGAACAAAGCUCUCAUGUGCAGACCGAUUACUGAAGAGCAGGGCGUCCAGUGUCAGCCAGAGCCUCCACUACCUCCAAAUCUGUGCCAAACAGUGAUUGAUGAAAAUGGAGAGAGAGUGAAGCUGGUCCCAGUGCCGGUGCCCAUUCCGAUGCCAGUUUACAUCCCAGUACCAAUGCAUCUAUACACCCAGUACACACCCUUUCCACUGGGCCUACCUCUACCGGUGCCUGUUCCCAUGGUCAUCCCUGGAUCUCAAGACUCCCCCGAACAGAAAGACACUAAAUGUAGCCUGCCUGCUCAGAGCUCAGUGGAAGACGACGAUGUGGAGAAGGGAAAAGACAAGCCUGCGUCACACGACCAGGGCAGCACUUACAGUGGUGAUUUGGAGUCAGAGGCCAGAUCAACACCCUUCAGCUUGGCAGAUACUGAGGAUCCUGGAGUCAACGUGAAGCCACCGGUGCCAUCGACCGAACUAGAGGAGCCGGUAGCCGCUCGGACCCCGUCUUUGUCGUCAGAGCAGCCAGAUCUGGAAAAUGAUUUUCCUCGCUCAUCAGCUGACCCUGGAUCAGCUAAAGAGAACAGACUGGUAUUGACACUGAAGAGACGUAAGAGGGGCAGAGACAGCCACCCUCCCAGGAAAAGGGUAUGUAAUCUGACAGAAUCAGAUUCCCGGCUUGUUGAAAAGACAUUUGUCUUGAGCGACAGAACGACAGAACAUCGGCCAGAGUCUGAAGUGUGAAGUCUGUUGAAGUGGGUUGUGUCCCGUCUUUUAGAUGAACGAUAAAGACUGAAGUGUUUCCAAAGUCUCUUGUCCAGACUUGUUGAUCAGUAUAUACCGUAAUUAGGAACAGUAACUGCAGAGAGACUAUUUCUCUUAGAUAUAGCUUAGAUUUUAAUUUUUUUUUUUUUACAUUUAGGAUCAUUUGGCUGUAUCUGUUGUAGAGAUUAAGGACUGUUAAUUGUGACCCUGGAGCACCAGUCUUAAGUCGCUAGCAACAGCCAAAAAAUAUUGUAUGGGUCAAAAUUAUCAAUUUUUCUUCUAUGCCAAAAAUCAUUAGGAUAUUAAGUAAUGAUCAUGUUCCAGGAAGAUAUUUUGUAAAUUUCCUACCAUAAAUGUAUCAAAUCUUAAUUUUAUGAUUCGUAAUAUGUAUUGCUAAGAAUUCAUUUGGACAACUUCAAAAGCGAUUUUCUCAGUAUUUAUAUUCUUUUGCACCCUCAGAUUGUAGAUUUUUUUAAAUAGUUGUAUCUCAGCCAAAUAUUGUCCGAUACUAAUAAACCAUACAUCUUAUUUCAGAUGAUGUAGGUAUCUCAUUUUUGAAAAAAUUGACACAUAAGAGUAAUUUUGUGGUCCAGGGUCACAAAUGUUCCAAAACAUUUGUAUAAUUUCUUGCAUUGUCAUGUAUUGCUAGUUUAUAUUUUUGACUGGUCAUUUUAAAAAUGAUUUACGCUUGGUAGAUCGAUUGAUGUUUUUCAUUUGUCAAUGGCAAAUCACAAGGCUAUUUUGUUGUUCUUCUAUCAAGUUUGUUUUGUUGUACAUGGAAAGUUCUAUAGAGACUUUUGGGUAGCACUUUAUUUUACAGUCCUGUUCCUCAUGUACAUACUAUGUACUUCUUAUAGUAAUUACAAUAACUAUGUAAUAAUUAGGUACUAACCCUGAACCUACCCCUAAACCUAACCCUACCCCAUGUAGUUACCUUGUGUUACCAGAACUUUCUUAGAUAAAUACACUGUAAGUACACUAUAAAUACAUGUUAGUACACGUACUGUAAAAUAAUGUGCAACCGACUUUUGAGUAUAUGAGACGUUGUGCAGUAACCAUUCAAGUUCACAUGGAGAUGAGCAAGUGUAAUAGCUGUUGUGGAAAAAAAUUGGGAUCAUUUGUGGACUGUGGACAUGAACAAAAAAAUUGGUUUCCUAUUUAAUUUUGGAUGUUAUGGACCAUUUAAUAAACCAGAAUGCCAUGGAAUCGGUCAGAGGAAUCUGUGUACAUCUGGCUAAAUGAAUUCAAUAAAAUAUUUCAUUGAAUAUAUAAUGUCACUGUUAUCCCUGGAAAUAAGCAGUAUCGUUCAUGCCAUAUUGGCUAAUAAAUGAAUCAAAAAGCUCCAAGAAAAA